UCGCGUCCUAUUUUCCGUCAACCUCUUCGCCGCGGCUAGUAAUCUUCCCUGUCCCCUCUUUUAAGUUUGCUCAAUUCGUUUAUCUGAUUUUCGUUUUAAGAAUUAGGGUUUGUUCAAUUCGCUUUUAGGGUUUUGUGCGUUUUUUCAAUUCUUUUUUAGGGUUUGUUCAAUUCGUUUUUAGGGUUCAAUUCGUUUGUUCAAUUUGUUUUUAGGGUUUUUUCAAUUCGUUGUUCAAUUUGUUUUUAGGGUUUGUUCAUUGGCCCAAAUUGUGUUAUUUAUUGGACAUGUUUAAUAUUGUGUUAUUUCUCUAAUUUGUCGGACUGUUAUUGUUGAUUCUUAACCAUCUUUUACAGUUUGAAGAUGAAUGAGAUGCUAAAGAUGUUGUGCACGGUCGAAAUGGUUAUGAUUUUGAUGGACAUCCUUUGCGGGUGGAAUUCGCUCAUGGUGGACGAGAAUCAUCAUCAUCAGACCAUCGCAGCAGUUACAGUGCUAGUAGUUAUAGAGAUGGAGCACCUAAGCACAGAGGCUGAAAGUUGAAAAUCAAACUAAGGAUGAUCAACCUGCAAAAAGAAACAACACAUCUGCCGAUUCUUCAAGAUUUUUAGAUUUUGGACCUUCAGUAAUGGAUGAUGAAUUCGGGAGUAGUAUACAUGAUACUAUCCCUGAGAAUCUGAGAUAACACCAGGACAUUCCAGCAAUCCAGUACAUGAUUUGAUUUCUGCAAGCAAAGCUGACGAGGACAACAAGAUCAAGGCUUUAGUUGAAAAUUCUGGUUUAGACUGGCAGAAUUCGCAUACUUAUGGUUUUGGCCAAGGGAGAGGUUUAGGAAGAGGUGGACAGGGUGGCCGGGGAUUUGGCCCUAGGGUAUCCUAUGCCUAACUUUGCACACGUCUCUUUGAUUCUUGCACCUGAUCGAAGCAAGCUGUCAAAGCGUCAUGGUGCAACUUCAGUGGGUCAGGUUUGUGGUGAAUAAAAUAGUUUUAUAAUGCUAGCAUAUUGUCUGGAUUGAUACAGUCAUUAAAAUCCCAUUCUUGCAUGUAUCAAACGAGAGAUGGGAUAUCUGCCACAGGCAAUGGUAAACUACUUAUCACUAUUGGGCUGGGGGGAUGGUACAGAUAAUGAAUUUUUCACUAUUGAACAACUUGGUAAGUUACUCUUGGUCUUUCCCCAUAUUAGUUUGCUGGACUGCUGCUAUAGA